CUAAAUCACUGUCGAUUCAGACAAGAGCUGGGCCCUGCGAGAGCAGCUGGAACUCGUCAGGAAUGCGUAGGCUCUGUGGAGGAAUGCAGAGUGCAGAACAAGAGGACAGAAGACCGCCAAGAACCUGGCAGCAGACGAACACUGAGGUCGGUGCAAUGUUUUGGCUCCCAGUUAUAACCCCAGCCCCAUCAGGGUUAAUGGGUUUCUGACAGCAAAAUGCCAGUGAUACCCAUUAGACCAUCCUGCAAGAAUCCGUCUGUGAACAGCCUACUAUACUGCUGCCUUCAGUGUGCUGAUGUAACAACCUCCUCCACGCCUCCAGCACCAGUUGAAUCCCAGUCCUUCCUGUAGGCUCCUCGCCCCUGCCAUCUCUCCCGGCAGGUUUUGACGGUUCGCUCAAGAAUCUCUCAUUGC